AGCAUGUUAGCUCAGGGGAAGAGCGCCGGGCUCAUAACCCGGAGGUAUGUUUCUCCCACUCUUCAUGAUUCAAUGAACCAGUUCUCUAACCUAAAAUAGGACCCUGGAUCGAAACCAGGACAUGCUA